rnacentral:rRNA from 1 species
ACGGGUGAGUAACACGUAUGCAAUCCACCUGUAACAGAGGGAUAACCCGGAGAAAUCCGGACUAAUACCCCAUAAUAUGGGCGCUCCGCAUGGAGAGCCCAUUAAAGAGAGCAAUUUUGGUUACAGACGAGCAUGCGCUCCAUUAGCCAGUUGGCGGGGUAACGGCCCACCAAAGCGACGAUGGAUAGGGGUUCUGAGAGGAAGGUCCCCCACAUUGGAACUGAGACACGGUCCAA